GCAUAUCAAGAGCGGAGGAAAAGAAACCAACAGGGAUUGCCCUAGUAACGGCGAGUGAAGCGGCAACAGCUCAAAUUUGAAAUCUGGCUCUUUUAGGGUCCGAGUUGUAAUUUGCAGAGGGUGCUUUGGCAAAGGUUGUGGUCUAAGUUCCUUGGAACAGGACGUCACAGAGGGUGAGAAUCCCGUACGUGGCCGCCAACCCGCGCUAUGUAAAGCCCCUUCGACGAGUCGAGUUGUUUGGGAAUGCAGCUCUAAAUGGGAGGUAAAUUUCUUCUAAAGCUAAAUAUUGGCCAGAGACCGAUAGCGCACAAGUAGAGUGAUCGAAAGAUGAAAAGCACUUUGGAAAGAGAGUCAAAAAGCACGUGAAAUUGUUGAAAGGGAAGCGCUUGCAGCCAGACUUGCCUGUAGUUGCUCAUCCGGGCUCUUGCCCGGUGCACUCUUCUAUGGGCAGGCCAGCAUCAGUCUUGGCGGUCGGAUAAAUGCGUGCUAAACGUACCUCUCUUCGGGGAGGACUUAUAGGGCACGCGGCAUACGACCAGCCGGGACUGAGGUCCGCGCAUCUGCUAGGAUGCUGGCGUAAUGGCUGUAAGCGGCCCGUCUUGAAACACGGACCAAGGAGUCUAACAUCUAUGCGAGUGUUUGGGUGUCAAGCCCGAGCGCGUAAUGAAAGUGAACGGAGGUGGGAACCCCUCGGGGUGCACCAUCGACCGAUCCUGAUGUCUUCGGAUGGAUUUGAGUAAGAGCAUAGCUGUUGGGACCCGAAAGAUGGUGAACUAUGCCUGAAUAGGGUGAAGCCAGAGGAAACUCUGGUGGAGGCUCGCAGCGGUUCUGACGUGCAAAUCGAUCGUCAAAUUUGGGCAUAGGGGCGAAAGACUAAUCGAACUAUCUAGUAGCUAGUUUCCUGCCGAAG
rnacentral:rRNA from 1 species